rnacentral:rRNA from 1 species
GACGAACGCUGGCGGCGUGCCUAAUACAUGCAAGUAGAACGCACAGUUUAUACCGUAGCCUGCUACACCAUAGACUGUGAGUUGCGAACGGGUGAGUAACGCGUAGGUAACCUGCCUGGUAGCGGGGGAUAACUAUUGGAAACGAUAGCUAAUACCGCAUAAUAUUAAUUAUUGCAUGAUAAUUAAUUGAAAGGUGCAAUUGCACCACUACCAAAUGGACCUGCGUUGUAUUAGCUAGUAGGUGAGGUAACGGCUCACCUAGGCGACGAUACAUAGCCGACCUGAGAGGGUGAUCGGCCACACUGGGACUGAGACACGGCCCAGACUCCUACGGGAGGCAGCAGUAGGGAAUCUUCGGCAAUGGACGAAAGUCUGACCGAGCAACGCCGCGUGAGUGAAGAAGGUUUUCGGAUCGUAAAGCUCUGUUGUAAGAGAAGAACGGGUGUGAGAGUGGAAAGUUCACACUGUGACGGUAUCUUACCAGAAAGGGACGGCUAACUACGUG